GGCUACAACAGAUUAGCCUGGGAGAGUUCCUGUGACUCACAUUCCUGUGUUCUUAAAAGCGUGCACUCAGUUUUAACAGGCAGGUUCACGACGGUAACUAGCUGCAGCUUUCAGAUGCCAGGAAAACAGAUUUUCAUGUUCCCGCAAUACCUUAAUCCUGGAAGGGCAGGUGACAGAGUGGAUAUAAAGAGCUGCUAAGCAGGUACAACUUUGGCUCCCCCACUCCCAGCGUGGCAGCCAGAGGAGCUAACUCAGGGAGAAACAGCCGUCUGCCUCUGAGGAGUCACAUCCCAGUCAUCUCAACAGCAUUCACCAUUGCUGCAUGCCAAGAGCUAAGGAUCCUGAUCGUUGUUGCUGGACCAUUGAAGCCUACAUAGCAUUGUUCUUCCUCUGGGAAACUCACUUCUAGUCUUGCUUCCCGUGGUGCAGCACAGGGGAGGUGGUAGGACGUGCCACACCAGAGGGAGAUGAUUAGCCAGAGGAACUGCAAGCACCUGGAGCCAGUUGUCUCUCCUGGAGGACAUCAGCGCUGAGAGGAGUCAACGCAUCCCAAGUUGUCCUAGGGAAGAAAGCCUCUCAAAAAUAGUUCUAUUAGAAGACAAUCAUUUCAGCAAUUUAAAACUGUUUUCAGAGGUUGCUGAAGGAUUGGUUUUGCUUCAUGAGAAUGUGCUUCAGGUUCUUCACACAGAUGGGAGAAAAAAGUCACGCUGCCUCAGAUUCUGCAAUGCUGAUCGAGCAAAUGCUGGGGACACAGACCAGCGUUCUGCGGUUUCUGGCUGAUUAACCAGAAAUGAGCUGAAUUUUCUGUUUGGAAGAAAGGAUCUGCACUUGCCUGCCGCUGAGUUGUCAUGGAGCUCAUUACCUCCAAUGAGAUGAGCAGUAGUGUGGAAUAAUUAAACUUACUUCCUGCUGGCUAGUGGUCAUUUGAAUGCUUAUGAAUAUGGGCAGCCUAUUGACCUAAAUGUGUGAGAAACCCUGCAUGGGAACCAACAGCACACACUCACACAAUCCUCAUAACGUUGUCCAGCUGGAUUUGUGGAGAAACUUGCCUGCCAGGGAUAACAGAGGAGAACAUGUGGACUCAAGUCCCUCUGUAGCAGAGAAAGGAGGGCUGAACAAGGGUCUCCUUGAUCCUGAGGGCAUUAGCUCACCCAGUACUGAUGGAAACACUGCACUGCUUGCAGUUCUCCACCCCCAGCUGAAAGAGACUUGUUUGCCGCUGAUCACUUUGUAACAGAAGUUCCCCUUUGGAGAACAGGUGGAGAAGCUGCCUUUUCUGUCACUUGUACUUACAUUUUUGUCUGCUUUUAUGCUGAUAAAAUUCCACUGACGUCAGCUAUAGCGAAUCUUUAUGCUUGAUAAAUGUGUGAACAAGAAGAGAAUCAGGAUCACACUAAACAAACAAACGUCAAUCAUCAAAAAAUAAGUGGUGUUGUUAGCCUGCUCAAAGGAACGAUAAGUGGAAGAGGCUUUGUAUAACUCUUCCUCCAUGCUCAAAGGUGGAUGGGUUUAGAAAUAAGAAUGGAGACCAUGGAUUACCAGUUUAGCCAGAUCUCAAGAAUAACCUGCACUGACUAAGGAUGGCAUGCAAUUCCAACACCUCAAAAUGUAUUGCAGUAUACAACAGACAUGGGAAUUCUUCUGGCUCCUCUACUUAAUCUUCCACAUCUUCAAAAGGUAUUCCUUUGGUCAAACAUCGUAUCAGUUUCAUUUUCCCUGCAGAAUGUUGUUGUAACAGAAACAGUUCAGCCGGGGUGCUGUAAAUUUCAAAUUAAGAUGGCAAUAGAGGUCUCAUGGCAUGUGAAAGAUGAGUUUGGAAAAACUGUUUUAGGAAGGAAUGCAAGGUAUUCUGGUGCUCGUAUAGUAACGACUGGAAGCAGAUACUUGUUAUCUCCACACAUUUCCAACUUUCCCAGUAUCACUUGCACUACUCCCUUAAUUUAAAUGACAGGAAAUUACUGUUUGCUUAUUUCCUACACUAAACACACAGGCAGCUGACCUUUGUCUUAAGAUUUUUUUAAACCAUGGUCACUAACUCUACAUUUACAUAUAUUCAUUAAUUUUGAGUCUCAGAAGGUGGAAAGUCCUGUCAUGAGCAGAGAACCAAAGCAUGCAAGUGGAUUUUUGUGCUGGUCUUUCUGUUCAGCUGCAGAGAGAAAUGCUGUGUGCUGUUAACUUUGGUUUUUGAGGCUUCGUGCAGAGGCAUUGCCCAAGGGAGCACGGGCUCUUUGCCUUGGUCCUUGUUUAGGCUCGAUUCUUUAGGCAGAAAUGGCUCCUUGCAAACCAGUCUGGUCCUGGGCUGAGGCUCCUGAGACAGGAAUUGCCUGGUCUCAGCUGCCAGCUCUGUGUAAAUGCAAGUGAGUUGUUCAUGAGCACUUAACGCACUGCAAAAGCAACUUACAAAGCUUCAAGUAUUUGAUCUCACAGACUAAAUCAUCAAUAUUAGUGCCAGAAGGAACAGUAACGUGAAGAAAGGGGGGAACGCAGAGAUGCAGCCCCUGCUGCAGUUCAGAGACGUGUGUCUGAGCACAGGUGGGAGUGAGCAGGCAACCCCCACCAGGUCCUGCAGGCUCAGACAAAGGAGAUGGUUGUCCAAAGACCACAUUUGCCUGGUUCACAGGCUGUGUUUUAUAGAAUCAUUUCAGGUGGAAGAGACCCUCAGGAUCAUUGAGUCCAACCAUAACCUAACUCUAGCACUAAACCAUGUUCCUAAGAACCUCGUCUAAAUGCCUUUUAAACACCUCCAGGAUUGGUGACUCCACCACUUCCCUGGGCAGUCUGUUCCAAUGCCUGACAACCCCUUCUGUGAAUAAAUUUUUCCUAAUAUCCAAUUUAAAUCUCCCCUGGCACAACUUGAAGCCAUUUCCUUUUGUCCUUUCUCUUGCUAUUUGAUAGAAGAGACCAACAUCCUCCAUGAUACAACCUCUUUUCAGGUAGCUGUAGACAGCAGUAAGGUCUCCCCUCAGCCUCCUUUUCUCCAGGCUAAACAGCCCCAGUUCCCUCAACCGCUCCUCAUCAGACUUGUGCUUCUGGCCCCUCACCAGCUUCAUCACUCUCCACUGAACUCUCUCUAGUACCUCGAAGUCUUUUCUUAUGAAAAGAAAGACAUGUCUUUCUUCAUUUCAAAAUUGAACACAACAUUCAAGGUGAGGCCUCACCAGCGCUGAGUACAGUGGCACGAUCACUUGUCCUGCUGGCCACCCAGCUCAUCUUGACACAGCUCUGCCCUACUGGAUGCUAGACAUCGACUCCUGUGGUUCAGCAGCACCUAACAGUGAGUGGGCAGCAAGGGGGUCUUUGCCUGGAGGGAGAAGUACAGAGAUUGAGGAAAGCAAAGGAGCACAGCCCACAGGGCACUGUAAGGCUCCCAGGAAGCAGAUGGGCGAGAACAGACAGCUACAGGAAAACCAUUCCUCAAGUUUAUCAGUAAUGUGCUUUGGCAAUAUUCUGUAUAUAGAACAAACUGCAGACACUAGAAUUAGUCCAGAAGAAGAUCUUUUAACUUUCUGUAUGAAGAAGGAAGCAAGCUGAUUAUCUCAGCACCAAACAUCUCCAACAUGGGAAAGAUUUUCAGAUAUGUUUAAAAGGCACCGUAGGGGCUGUGCCUCACUUUUGCUGUUAAUAAUGUAAUAUGGCUGUAAUAUAUAUAUUUUUAAUAACUAAAGACAAAUUGUAGCACAUAAAAGACUGUGAGGUUAUAUUUUAGUUUUCUAGAAGCUGAGAUAGUCAUAUAAAUAUAUUACGAAAGCAUUGUAACAAAAGUGCUAGUGUUUUAAUGAUAAAACAUCCAGGGUCAGUAGAAAAUAUAUAUCAUCAUCUGCAAAUUCACUUUAGAUGUAAUAAAAUAGCACAGAAUAGGGGAUCUGUCACAUUUUAAAUAGGAUAAAUGUUAUUUAUACUUUAUGAUGCACCAUUUUAUCUUUAGAGGUGAGAAGAAGCAGCAGAACUGAGUAUUUGAUCACGCAGCAUCUGCAAAUGUCAGAGAGGCCGUGGCAGCUCAUCUGACAGCAACAGGCAAAGGCUGCAGGCAAUCAAGACAGAUACCCUUCCUUAUGCUCCAUUUUUAUCAUAGCCCCCACUUCUGCUGAUGUAACUGCUGUUGGUGUCAUAUUCUAAACCAGAUACAGGUUAAAAACAAAACUAAACUAAAAAAAAAAAAAAAAAAAAAAACAACAAAUCAACAAGGACCUCCAAGACCCAAAUUAGCAUGACCUGACGGGGGAAGAAGGUGAAAGGAGCACCACGGGUAUUUGCUUAGCAAGCAUGGGAAUAAGAAAGCAGCUGAGGAAGAGGCAAAGACCUUUCCAAUUACAAAAAAAAAAUCACAAAUCUAUGGCCCAGGUGGACACAAUUCUUUUUGCCGCAGCUAUCAAACCAUACUUCCCUGCACGUGAGAAGAUGGCUGAAUUUUUGAAGUGUUUAGCUCUUAUUUUGGUACUUCACUACAAUGCUUCUGUUUUGAAAGCCUGGCCUCUCUAGCAAGUUGCUCUAACAUACACUGCACUGUACAACUAAUCUAGAGUUCUUUCAGCUACAAGUACCCUCAACAGCGCUCUGUGCUCUGCCUCUGAUUUCCAAAACUGCAUAAAUAUACUUACAAACAAUUGAUAACUAAGACUCAAGUGUCAUCUUAAAAUCUCCAUCUCCACUUACAGGAUUUGAAGAAAAUCACUGCAGACCUGGGGUUUGGCAGAAAUUGGUCCACGUGAUGGGACAGUUCUGCCCAGGCCACAUUUUGCUAAUUCCAGUAGAUAUCUGGGUUGCUACCAAGGGCCACUGGUGUGAGGAAAUGGGAGGUACCUGCUCUCCCCAGCUUCAUCCCUAACUCCAUACAGACGCAUACAUGCUGUGAUUGGUAAGGAGAGCUGCAGUAUCAGCUGGCAGUGAAUUGUAGCAGCUUAAACAUGGAAGAAAAAUUAGUAUCUUUGUUCAAAAGGUGUUAUAAAAUAAAUCAAACAACCCUAACUUCCCUGAACCACAAAAUAUAUUGUCCUGAACAAAUACUAAAAUUUGGUUUUGAAAGCACACAUAAAUUGGUUUGCUCAUCCUGUAGCAUUUUGCACCAUGAUUAAAUUGUAUUAGUGUCACAUUUUGUACCCAAAAUCAUAUUGCUGAGCUGCCUGACAGCAACUGUCAUUAUUCUAGAGCGUGACAUUUCUGACACUGGGAGUCCAAUAUGAGGUUUCACACUAAUUUUCAAACUGCUUGAAUGCUGAUUUAACAACCGAAUUGAAUGGUCAGUAUUUAUACCUUCACUAUUUCACAUUACCUCAUAAUUGAAAGCACCAAAAGGACAAGCCAUUUUGAUGAAAAACACUCUUUAAAUGACUACAGAGGACACACUAUGAGAAAUCUUCAAGAAGGCAGUUUUUAGAAAGUUGCACUAAACAACAAAACUGCAAUGUCAGGUUCUUUUAACAAAGCUAUCAAGUCAAUCCAGGCUUUCAAUCACCAUCCAAUAAACAAUAACACCCUAUAGAUCAACAGUCUAUCACUCUUCCUCUCUAAGCUUCCACUUAAGGAAGGCUGGGGAGGAAGCUGCUUCCCGUAGUCUGAGGGGAAUGAAGAACGACUUCAAGGUCUUGGGAAGGAUGGUGAAAGACUCAGGGGCUCAAGUGAUCUUCUCUUCACUCCUUCCAUCUUCAAGGGACGAUGUGGGAUGGAAUAGGAAAAUUCAGUCUCUUAAUGGUUGGCUCCAAGACUGGUGCUACAGACAGGGCUUUGGAUUUUUUGAUAAUGGUUGGUUUUAUAAGUCACCAGUCCGGACAGUGUCAAGUGGGAAAGGUUUAUCUCGCAGGGGCAAAAGGA